rnacentral:rRNA from 1 species
UACGAAGGGGGCUAGCGUUGCUCGGAAUCACUGGGCGUAAAGCGCACGUAGGCGGCUUCUUAAGUCAGGGGUGAAAUCCUGGAGCUCAACUCCAGAACUGCCUUUGAUACUGAGGAGCUUGAGUCCGGGAGAGGUGAGUGGAACUGCGAGUGUAGAGGUGAAAUUCGUAGAUAUUCGCAAGAACACCCGUGGCGAAAGCGGCUCUCUGGGACGGUACUGACGCUGAGACGCGAAAGCGUGGGGAGCAAACAGG